GUGUGGUAAUAAGGCAAAGACCUUCCCACACUUUUGGUCUCAUCUGCGUAGGCACUACCUUCCUGGUCAGGCCGCUUCCUUGGCCUGUUGGGUUCUGGGUGGUUCUGCAGUUUUGCAUACGUGGCAUCUGCCUUAAUUUCUAUUACACAAGCACAGUGGUGGGUAUAGUCUAAUGGACUGUGGUGCAGAAAAAAAGAAGGUAGGUUAGUCUGUGUGGAAGAGUGGAUCUCUUCCUGCUGACUGCCUUAUGGCCUCUGGAAAUGUUCUCACUGCCUCUGCUGAAAAGGCUUCACCUCUGUCCUUACUUCUUUGCAUCACUUCGGAUGAGCCAAACUUGCAUUUUGGAUCCUUGACCUGGCUACAAGAAUACCUAGUAAACCACAGAACUCCAGUCCUCUUUUCUGAAGAUUCAAGAUCCCUGGCACUUAUCUACCUCAGAAAUAUGAACAUCUGUGGGAUAUUUCCAAAGACCUGGCAUUUGACUAUGAAAGAGCUACUCUCAGGGAAUGGAGACAGUGCAGACCCUGGAGGACUGCAGCUUGACGUGGCCUCCUCCAUUCAUGCAGCCUGUGUGGCAGAAUGGAGUCAGAAUUUGGGGUCAGCUUAUCACAUCCUGUAAAGAGUUUCACUGGACAGUUGUUAACUAACGGCCAUUUUUCACAAGGCCCUGUGUUUCACAAGGUACUAUGUGGCUUGUUGUUCGUUGCUAAGUCGUGUCCAACUCUUUUGCAACCCUGUGGGCUGUAGCCCGCCAGGCUCCUCUGUCUGUGGGAUUUCCCCGGCAAGAAUAUUAGAGUGAGUUGCCAUUUCCUUCCCCAACUGUAUGGGUACCAGAAUGGCAAAGAUUCUGUUCUUGCCAUCAAAAACUUGUUAUCUAAC
ensembl:lncRNA